rnacentral:lncRNA from 1 species
CCCUGCUAAAUGAAGAAGGCUAGGGGAAAUUUAGAACUCCUAAGACACACCAUAAGAGUAAGACCUAUAAGUCAAAAGCCCUUUUGCCCUGCCUGCAGGGAGUUCAAAUAACAAUUAGCCACCAAUUCCCCAGAUUAUACCUUGCCCCAAACUCCCUGAUCCCACUCCACUAAUAUCUGUUACUGUUUGACCCAAAUAAGAAUCCUAUACAAAUCUAGGCUACUUCACUAGUUUUAGGCACCUAAUUCUAUCCAGGACCCCUGUGGAUUGUCCUCAUCCAUCCUCCCUGACUGCCCCUUGGUCUGGUUGCUUGGGAAAAUGUGUGAGACUACUUAAAAAGGGACGUCUGAGGUAGUAGAUAAGUCACCAUUUUGACUGUCCAAGACAGUAUCUUGAUAGGUAAAGGUGGAAAUUCAUUUAAAAAAAAAAGAAUGAUGUCCACAAUCAACCAACAAUCAAGCCUUAAUUUGUAGCAGUUGCUGAUUUCUGAGGUAUAAUUGCUCACCACAAAAAUUUACCCAUCUACCUAGUUGUCACAAGUGGCCAUAUUGGAAGCCUUUCCCAUGAAAUGACAGGGCCUUUCAUCUGGGGAUCUCAAAGCACUUUGCAAACAUUAAUUAAUACUCAUGACACCACUGUGAGGGAGAAGCACUAUCACUUGAUGGAUACUAGGAAAACCAAGUUGUAACUGUGUGAAUUAAAUAUCUGGGGGACCUCCAACCUACUCCA